rnacentral:rRNA from 1 species
AACUAGCAUAUCAAUAAGCGGAGGAAAAGAAACUAACAAGGAUUCCCCUAGUAACUGCGAGUGAAGCGGGAAAAGCUCAAAUUUAAAAUCUGGCGGUCUUUGGCUGUCCGAGUUGUAAUCUAGAGAAGUGUUAUCCGCGCUGGACCGUGUACAAGUCUCCUGGAAUGGAGCGUCAUAGAGGGUGAGAAUCCCGUCUUUGACACGGACUGCCAGGGCUUUGUGAUGCGCUCUCAAAGAGUCGAGUUGUUUGGGAAUGCAGCUCAAAAUGGGAGGUAAAUUCCUUCUAAAGCUAAAUAUUGGCGAGAGACCGAUAGCGAACAAGUACCGUGAGGGAAAGAUGAAAAGAACUUUGGAAAGAGAGUUAAACAGUACGUGAAAUUGCUGAAAGGGAAACGCUUGAAGUCAGUCGCGUUGGCCGGGAUUCAACCUUGCUUUUGCUGGGCGUACUUCCCGGUUAAUGGGUCAGCAUCAAUUUUGACCGUUGGAUAAAGGUUAGGGGAAUGUGGCAUCUUCGGAUGUGUUAUAGCCCUUGGUCGCAUACAACGGUUGGGAUUGAGGAACUCAGCACGCCGCAAGGCCGGGUAUUUAUACCACGUUCGUGCUUAGGAUGCUGGCAUAAUGGCUUUAAUCGACCCGUCUUGAAACACGGACCAAGGAGUCUAACAUGCCUGCGAGUGUUUGGGUGGAAAACCCGAGCGCGUAAUGAAAGUGAAAGUUGAGAUCCCUGUCGUGGGGAGCAUCGACGCCCGGACCAGACCUUUUGUGACGGCUCCGCGGUAGAGCAUGUAUGUUGGGACCCGAAAGAUGGUGAACUAUGCCUGAAUAGGGUGAAGCCAGAGGAAACUCUGGUGGAGGCUCGUAGCGAUUCUGACGUGCAAAUCGAUCGUCAAAUUUGGGUAUAGGGGCGAAAGACUAAUCGAACCAUCUAGUAGCUGGUUCCUG